rnacentral:rRNA from 1 species
GAUGAACGCUGGCGGCGUGCCUAACACAUGCAAGUCGAGCGAUCUUCUUCGGAAGAGAGCGGCGGACGGGUGAGUAACGCGUGGGUAACCUGCCUCAUACACAUGGAUAACAUACCGAGAGGUAUGCUAAUACAAGACGAUAUAAGAGAUUCGCAUGGAUUUCUUAUCAAAGCUCCGGCGGUAUGAGAUGGACCCGCGUCUGAUUAGCUAGUUGGUAAGGUAAUGGCUUACCAAGGCGACGAUCAGUAGCCGACCUGAGAGGGUGAUCGGCCAAAUUGGAACUGAGACACGGUCCAAACGCCAACGGGAGGCAGCAGUGGGGAAUAUUGCACAAUGGGCGAAGGCUUGAUGCAGCAACGCCGCGUGAGCGAUGAAGGCCUUCGGGUCGUAAAGCUCUGUCCUCAAGGAAGAUAAUGACGGUACUUGAGGAGGAAGCCCCGGCUAACUACGUGCCAGCCGCCGCCGUAAAAC